CGCGUAGGCGGGAAUGCAAGUCAGAUGUGAAAACUCCGGGCUCAACUUGGAGAUUGCAUUUGAAACUGUGUUUCUUGAGGGCAGGAGAGGAAAGUGGAAUUCCUAGUGUAGCGGUGAAAUGCGUAGAUAUUAGGAGGAACACCAGUGGCGAAGGCGACUUUCUGGACUGUACCUGACGCUGAGGCGCGAAAGCGUGGGUAGCAAACGG
rnacentral:rRNA from 1 species